UACGUAGGGACCAAGCGUUGUUCGGAUUUACUGGGCGUAAAGCGCGCGUAGGCGGAAGGUGAAGCGUGGCCUGAAAGCCCCCGGCUCAACCGGGGAGGGCGGCUGCGAACUGGCCUUCUUGAGGGCGAUAGAGGGGGGCGGAAUUCCUGGUGUAGCGGUGAAAUGCGUAGAGAUCAGGAGGAACACCCGUGGCGAAGGCGGCCCCCUGGGUCGGCCCUGACGCUGAGGCGCGACAGCGUGGGGAGCAAACAGG
rnacentral:rRNA from 1 species